UACAGAGGGAGCAAGCGUUAAUCGGAAUUACUGGGCGUAAAGGGUGCGUAGGUGGUUUUGUAAGUUGGGUGUGAAAGUCCUGGGCUUAACCUGGGGAUUGCGCUCAAUACUGUGAAGCUAGAGUACUGUAGAGGAAGGUGGAAUUUCCAGUGUAGCGGUGAAAUGCGUAGAUAUUGGAAGGAACAUCAGUGGCGAAGGCGACUUUCUGGACAGAUACUGACACUGAGGCACGAAAGCGUGGGGAGCAAACAGG
rnacentral:rRNA from 1 species